rnacentral:rRNA from 1 species
GCCCGAGGAUGGGUCUGCGGCGGAUUAGGUAGUUGGUGGGGUAACGGCCCACCAAGCCUAAGAUCCGUACGGGCUGUGGGAGCAGGAGCCCGGAGAUGGACCCUGAGACAAGGGUCCAGGCCCUACGGGGCGCAGCAGGCGCGAAACCUCCGCAAUGCGGGAAACCGCGACGGGGUUAGCCGGAGUGCCCGUGCAUUGCACGGGCUGUCGGGGUGCCUAAACAGCACCCCAUAGCAAGGGCCGGGCAAGGCCGGUGGCAGCCGCCGCGGUAAGACCGGCGGCCCGAGUGGCGGCCACUCUUAUUGGGCCUAAAGCGUCCGUAGCCGGCCCAGUAAGUCCCCCGGGAAAUCUGGUCGCUUAACGAUCAGACUUCCGGGGGAUACUGCUGGGCUAGGGACCGGGAGAGGCCGAGGGUAUUCCCGGGGUAGGGGUGAAAUCCUGUAAUCCCGGGAGGACCACCUGUGGCGAAGGCGCUCGGCUGGAACGGGUCCGACGGUGAGGGACGAAGGCCUGGGGAGCGAACCGGAUUAGAUACCCGGGUAGUCCAGGCUGUAAACGAUGCGGGCUAGGUGUCACCGGAGCUACGAGCUCCGGUGGUGCCGGAGGGAAGCCGUUAAGCCCGCCGCCUGGGAAGUACGGCCGCAAGGCUGAAACUUAAAGGAAUUGACGG